rnacentral:tRNA from 3 species
GGGCCGGUCGUCUAGUCCGGUAGGAUAUGUGCAUGGCAUGCAUGGGAUCGAGGGUUCAAAUCCCUUCCGGUCCA